rnacentral:rRNA from 3 species
UUACCCACUCCCGGCACGGGGAGGUAGUGACGAAAAAUAACGAUACGGGACUCAUCCGAGGCCCCGUAAUCGGAAUGAGUACACUCUAAACCCUUUAACGAGGAUCAAUUGGAGGGCAAGUCUGGUGCCAGCAGCCGCGGUAAUUCCAGCUCCAAUAGCGUAUAUUAAAGUUGUUGCGGUUAAAAAGCUCGUAGUCGAAUUUGUGUCUCGUGCCGCCGGUUCAUCGUUCGCGGUGUUAACUGGCGAGUCGCGAGACGUCCUGCCGGUGGGCUUAGCUCUCGCAAGGGGGCGGCCCAACUCAAUCCUGCCGCGGUGCUCUUCACUGAGUGUCGAGGUGGGCCGGCACGUUUACUUUGAACAAAUUAGAGUGCUUAAAGCAGGCUAAAAUUUCGCCUGAAUACUGUGUGCAUGGAAUAAUGGAAUAGGACCUCGGUUCUAUUUUGUUGGUUUUCGGAACCCCGAGGUAAUGAUUAAUAGGAACGGAUGGGGGCAUUCGUAUUGCGACGUUAGAGGUGAAAUUCUUGGAUCGUCGCAAGACGGACAGAAGCGAAAGCAUUUGCCAAAAACGCUUUCAUUGAUCAAGAACGAAAGUUAGAGGUUCGAAGGCGAUCAGAUACCGCCCUAGUUCUAACCAUAAACGAUGCCAGCUAGCGAUCCGUCGACGUUCCUCCGAUGACUCGACGGGCAGCUUCCGGGAAACCAAAGCUUUUGGGUUCCGGGGGAAGUAUGGUUGCAAAGCUGAAACUUAAAGGAAUUGACGGAAGGGCACCACCAGGAGUGGAGCCUGCGGCUUAAUUUGACUCAACACGGGAAACCUCACCAGGCCCGGACACUGGAAGGAUUGACAGAUUGAGAGCUCUUUCUUGAUUCGGUGGGUGGUGGUGCAUGGCCGUUCUUAGUUGGUGGAGCGAUUUGUCUGGUUAAUUCCGAUAACGAACGAGACUCUAGCCUGCUAACUAGGCGUAUUUUGACAUCCUAAAGGCCCGCCGGCUUGGGG